rnacentral:rRNA from 1 species
UGGGGAAUUUUCCGCAAUGGGCGAAAGCCUGACGGAGCAAUACCGCGUGAGGGAGGAAGGCUCUUGGGUUGUAAACCUCAAAACUUAGGGAAGAAAAAAAUGACGGUACCUAAUGUAAGCAUCGGCUAACUCCGUGCCAGCAGCCGCGGUAAUACGGAGGAUGCAAGCGUUAUCCGGAAUCAUUGGGCGUAAAGAGUCCGUAGGUGGCACUUCAAGUCUGCUUUCAAAGACCGAAGCUCAACUUCGGAAAGGGAGUGGAAACUGAAGAGCUAGAGUAUAGUAGGGGUAGAGGGAAUUCCUAGUGUAGCGGUGAAAUGCGUAGAGAUUAGGAAGAACACCAGUGGCGAAGGCGCUCUACUGGGCAUAGACUGACACUGAGGGACGAAAGCUAGGGGAGCGAAAGGGAUUAGAUACCCCUGUAGU